rnacentral:rRNA from 1 species
UAAUACGUAGGUGGCAAGCGUUACUCGGAAUUACUAGGCGUAAAGCGCAGGUAGGCGGUUGGAUAAGUUUCUUGUGAAAGCUCCCGGCUUAACUGGGAGAGGCCAAGGAAUACUAUCUGACUUGAGUAUGGUAGGGGUAACUGGAAUUCCCGGUGUAGCGGUGAAAUGCGUAGAUAUCGGGAGGAAUACCUAUGGCGAAGGCAGGUUACUGGGCCAUUACUGACGCUGAGCUGCGAAAGCUAGGGGAGCAAACAGGAUUAGAUACCCUGGUAGUCCUAGCCCUAAACGAUGUUCAUUAGAUGUGGGAGGUAUCGACCCCUUCCGCGUCGGCGCUAACGCAUUAAAUGAACCGCCUGGGGAGUACGGCCGCAAGGUUG